UUUGCCCGGUUAUUCGUAAUUUCAACUUUUAUCACUCCGCGUAGUUUUUGUUAAUUUAAGAAGUUAAGGCGUCUCUCAGUAUUUGAUUUUAUCGUGGAUUGCCGUCUUCCGGGAAGAAACGUCUUAUACAGCCUUGGGAUCUCGUUGAGUUUAUCCUGGCUUGGAAAUCAGUGUGAAUUCCCAUGCAUAAUGGAGUAUUUGCGACUGAGGAAUUUCUGCUGUAACAAGUUUCUUCAGUGAGUCGUGUUAUCAUGAGAGAGGAAAAGGUUCGUAGCUGAGCUGUAGGCAAGAAAGCGGUGAAUGUGCGAGUAGAUGAGGGUCUUGAAGAACCUUAGAAUUGGUAACGAUACGAAAAAGACGUUGGAAGGAGAAUGUUGCUAGAAUGUAGAAGUGGUAGGAGGGGUGUGGGGGGGGGAGACCACAGGACCUCCUGUACAUUUCCAUCCACCCUAGUAUGGUUGAUGUUACCGUGGCAGAAGUUCUUUGUCUAGUUUUUAUACGUUCUCCAUCCUGCGUGUUGGUGUUGCUAAGUUAGGUUAGGUUGCCUGCCGGACGCUGGCCGUGUCGGUUGUGAAGUUCUUUUCCGUUGGAUGCUUUGCGUUUCGUUUUCAGCAGUGCAGAGGUAGCUUAGGAACUAGCCGGAGUGGAGUGGAUUUCAGUGUGGAGGUUGUGUGAAUCGAGUUUCUGCUUGCAGAUGUGUGGUAUAGUUCUGUUAAUGGAUUUAGUGCCUGAGGAAUACUUCGUUGGGGUACAUAAUUACAUUGUCUGUUUAAUGAUACGAAAGUUCUGAGCUUUUUACGUCUUGAAGCAUGAAUUGUGUGUUGCUGUGAGUGUUUGUUUGGCUGUAACGAUAAUUAUUCACGAGCUUGUGCUUUGUACGAAGCGGACUCCGUGGCGUAACAAAUGUCGAACUCUUCGUGUGUUCGUGUUUUCCAUCUUUUGCAGUGAUUGACUGAACACAAAAUCGUGUUGUGGUGGCGCCAGUUUAAAUUUCCAGCUUCAUGUUAUGUUUAAAGAUCAAGGUACUUUGAUUGGAUAUUUAAUUGGCUGGAUAUUGGCGACUUUCAGGUGUCUCAGGUUCCCGAACAGACCUCAUAAUUGACUAUCUGUACUUGUAUGAUGCUCGACUCGGAAAGGGGAAGAUAAAUCCAGAAGCCAGUAUGAUGACAAGACGAAGGCAGAUUAGGGUAGAGGUUUACCACAUGAGAAGACCCUAACCGCUGUGGGUCCCCGCAGCAGACAUGGAUAAGGAG